rnacentral:pre_miRNA from 1 species
UAUUUGAUGUAAAGUGCAUCAGGAUAAGUGUAUAGCAGUGUUAAUUUGACACUGUUUUACACUUACCCGAUGCUCAGAGAAAUUUGAAUG